AGGACGAACGCUGGCGGCGUGCCUAACACAUGCAAGUCGAGCGAGGAGAUUCCUCGGGAUGAUCCUAGCGGCGGACGGGUGAGUAACACGUGGGCAACCUGCCUCAUAGAGAGGAAUAGCCUUCCGAAAGGGAGAUUAAUACCUCAUAACAUUGCAGUUUCGCAUGGAACAGCAAUUAAAGGAGCAAUCCACUAUGAGAUGGGCCCGCGGCGCAUUAGCUAGUUGGUGAGGUAACGGCUCACCAAGGCGACGAUGCGUAGCCGACCUGAGAGGGUGAUCGGCCACAUUGGGACUGAGACACGGCCCAAACUCCUACGGGAGGCAGCAGUAGGGAAUCUUCCGCAAUGGACGAAAGUCUGACGGAGCAACGCCGCGUGAGUGAAGAAGGGUUUUUCCGGAUCGUAAAACUCUGUUGUCAGAGAAGAACAAGUUGGAGAGUAACUGCUCCAGCCUUGACGGUAUCUGACCAGAAAGCCACGGCUAACUACGUGCCAGCAGCAGC
rnacentral:rRNA from 1 species